rnacentral:rRNA from 1 species
ACGGCUCAGUAACACGUGGAUAACCUACCCUUAGGACUGGGAUAACCCUGGGAAACUGGGGCUAAUACUGGAUAGGUGAUUUUUCCUGCAAUGGUAUUUCAUUUAAAUGUUUUUUCGCCUAAGGAUGGGUCUGCGGCCGAUUAGAUUGUUGGUGAGGUAAUGGCUUACCAAGUCGAUUAUCGGUUCGGGUUGUGAAAGCAAGGGCCCGGAGAUGGAACCUGAGACAAGGUUCCAAACCCUACGGGGUGCAGCAGGCGCGAAACCUCCGCAAUGUGAGAAAUCACGACGGGGGGACCCCAAGUGCCAUUCUUAACGGGAUGGCUUUUCUUAAGUGUAAAAAGCUUUUGGAAUAAGAGCUGGGCAAGACCGGUGCCAGCCGCCGCGGUAACACCGGCAGCUCUAGUGGUGGCCAUUUUUAUUGGGCCUAAAGCGUUCGUAGCCGGUUUAAUAAGUCUUUGGUGAAAUCCUGUAGCUUAACUGUGGGACUUGCUGGGGAUACUAUUAGACUUGAGGUCGGGAGAGGUUAGAGGUACUCCCAGGGUAGGGGUGAAAUCCUGUAAUCCUGGGAGGACCACCUGUGGCGAAGGCGUCUAACUGGAACGAACCUGACGGUGAGGGACGAAAGCCAGGGGCGCGAACCGGAUUAGAUACCCGGGUAGUCCUGGCCGUAAACGAUGCGGACUUGGUGUUGGGAUGACUUUGAGUUGUUUCAGUGCCGAAGGGAAGCUGUUAAGUCCGCCGCCUGGGAAGUACGGUCGCAAGACUGAAACUUAAAGGAAUUGGCGGGGGAG